GCGGGGUAGCUCAGUUGGUUAGAGCGGUGGAAUCAUAAUCCAUGUGUCGGCGGUUCGAAUCCGCCCCUCGC
rnacentral:tRNA from 1 species